CGCGUAGGCGGGCUUUCAAGUCAGAUGUGAAAUCCCGGGGCUUAACCCCGGAACUGCAUUUGAAACUGGGAGUCUUGAGGAUGGACGGAGAGAACGGAAUUCCACAAGUAGCGGUGAAAUGCGUAGAUAUGUGGAAGAACACCUGUGGCGAAAGCGGUUCUCUAGUUUAUACCUGACGCUGAGGCGCGAAAGCAAGGGGAGCGAACA
rnacentral:rRNA from 1 species